AAAGAUACAAAACUUGACUAGCCAUUUGAACAGCCAAUUGGAAUGGAGUGAAGUUUACAAAAAGACAUUUAUGAAAACAGUUGAUGAUUUUAAUAAUAAAUUCGAUGAGAAUAAAAACCAGAUACUUAUCUUGAACAACCAGUUAAAAGAGCAAAAGACUUUGAUAACAAGAAUCGCCAACAAAGCUGCUAUUUCUACUGGAAUUACAUUUUUAAAGUGGAAACUGUUUUGUGGAAUAUUAUUUGUAUUUUUUUCAAAUCAUUUCUUCACUUGAUUAAGAUUUGUUUGUCACCAUUAUAGCAGAA
rnacentral:lncRNA from 1 species